UUCAUCGACUCUAUGGAUAACCGUUUGGCAUUAGUUAGUAUACGGACGCCUAUGUUGUACAUCCGGAUGUACUUUGUGCAUGAAGUCAACCCAGGCAGAUAUGGGGUGCGAGGACCACACCUGCAUGAAAAGCCAUUGGAACAAUGAGUCUGUGAGCCGAAUGAAACAAGAUUAUUCGCCCUCCGAUUCCCUCUCCCUGAAGAGUGGUCAAGAAGGCAGUAAAUAUUUAUGGGAGGCGCAUUGGCAUUACGAAUCCUGGUGAUGCUAAUCUUUUCGAGAGGAACAAGAAUGGGGCCCGCAUGCCAAAGAUCCACACCCAAAACCAGGGGCGCUCUGCCACAAUAAUCCAAAAUCUCUCAUAUUGUUCAUCAUCGUUAGAAACCUGCCAUUACGAAUCAUGAAUAGAUAGAAAAGCCGGAAAACAAUAUUUGGGGAGAACGAUUCAACCAUUCAACUUGAGAAUGUGGGAGCCCUGAGGUGAGGAAUAAAAUGCCGAGUCCGAUGCUUGGUUAUAUUCAAAUUACGCGGAGACUUUUCUGCUGGACUCAUCACGAGGUUUGGCACCAAUCGUUUGGAGUGGACGCUUGGAUGGUAUGCGAAGCUCUUUCAUCAACUCAAGCAUAUUCAAGAUAUGCAACCACAGAUAAAGUGAAGCUCAAAGUGACUCCAAUCAAACCUCCGAGUUCUUUA